rnacentral:rRNA from 1 species
AACGAACGCUGGCGGCAUGCCUAACACAUGCAAGUCGAACGAGACCUUCGGGUCUAGUGGCGCACGGGUGCGUAACGCGUGGGAACCUGCCCUUAGGUUCGGAAUAACUCCCCGUAAGGGGUGCUAAUACCGGAUAAUGUCCUCGGACCAAAGAUUUAUCGCCUUUGGAUGGGCCCGCGUUGGAUUAGCUAGUUGGUAGGGUAAAAGCCUACCAAGGCGACGAUCCAUAGCUGGUCUGAGAGGAUGAUCAGCCACACUGGGACUGAGACACGGCCCAGACUCCUACGGGAGGCAGCAGUGGGGAAUAUUGGACAAUGGGCGAAAGCCUGAUCCAGCAAUGCCGCGUGAGUGAUGAAGGCCUUAGGGUUGUAAAGCUCUUUUACCCGGGAUGAUAAUGACAGUACCGGGAGAAUAAGCUCCGGCUAACUCCGUG